GGAAUGCAAGAAUAAAGCUGGCAUGGAUGGGAUGUUUUGUUCUGCUUCUAUACAAAGCUUUCUUCACUUUAGAAAACUAGGGGACUCUCUGGGAAAUUCCAUAAAAUUUACAUUCUGCUGGUUGAUUCCUGAUAAUCAUUCCAAGCAUGUAUCCAACCAAAAUUCAACACAAGGAAAAGACCCUUAUCACAUUUGGUCAUGAGUGAGUAUAUUUUUUUUUCUUAUUUAUAAUAAAGAAAUACCAAUACCAAUAAUUAUUAUUAUUAUAAUACAAAUCACAUUUAAAAUAAAUUUGAAGUUGAAAAAGACACUAACAGUGACAUGAUAGUUGACAAGCCAUUGUCCU
rnacentral:misc_RNA from 1 species